AGGAUGGCAUCUCAAUGAGGAGCUCCCCUAGUACUGUCACAGAGACAGAAGUGCUGACAACUGAGAAAGUCCUGUUUGUGCCCCUGACAGACCUGUCUAGGGAUGAGUCUUGUGGUGCAGCAGAUAGACACUAUCAAACUGGCCUCAAAGUAAACAAAGGAAAUGGGAUUACUCUUUGUGCCCAGUACAACAACAACAACAACAACAACUUGGAUUCAUAUAGCGCCCUCCAUGCUGGAUGGCGUCUCAGAGCGCUUCACAGUUACGGAUCCAUGGGGCCGAGCCGGGCCGGGGGGGGGGGGAGGAAGGUGACCAAAGGUGCGUCGAAAAGAAAGAAAGGUCUUCAGCAGAGACCUGAAAAUAGGAAGGGAGGGAGCGAGGCGAAAGGAGUGAGGAAGGCAGUUCCAGAGCCUCGGGGCACAGUGGCUGAAGGGACGGCCACCGAGGGUGAAGUGGAGGACUCGGGACGAGGAGGAGGCCAGACCCGGAGGAACGAAGGCAAUGGACACAAAGCUCCACGUGUGGUACAUUUCAAGAUCACAAAAGACAAACAGAUGAAGAAGACCCUUGGGCCCAUUUGAUCUCAUCCUUCUCAAAUGUUAACUCCACAUUGUUGCAUCAGACUGUUCUUUAAACCAAUCCAGUGUCCUGGCCUCCACCAUACUUUCUGAGUACAAGUCUUCAGAGCGGGGAUCACCAAACAGGAAAGGAAGGAGAGGAGGUGCAUUGAAAAAUAUACAUUUCCUGAGUGUUUGAAGACUUGGAGAAAAAU